AGAAGCAACAAUGCGUUCCAUCAUAGUUUUAUUCAUUACUGUGGCUUCUUCAAUGCCCCCAGUAUGCUUCGGUGAAGACGAAAGCAACAGCGAUCCUGCCGACGCAUUGCGCGCCGUUGCGUCAGUACAGAACGUGCUGCUGGCGGUGUCAAGCGUGGACAUACCGGUUUUAAGGUGUCUAACUGCUGACAUUACAUUCCUUGACGUGGAUUCUGGAAAAGCAACGUACACCUGGCAUGUUAAAUCCCCGGACAGUUCAGAAAGGAAAGACGUUCGAGUCAAUUACGCUGUUGGUGGAGGUCCGCCCGACAUGGCUGUUGCGCAAAUAAAUGACGUUUGUUUUCUCUGGGAAACAAGAGGAACUGAGGAUGUUGUGCCCAAGGACUGUCUGGCCGCAUUCAAAGAUAGUUGCGGCACUGGCGUAACUCUGUACAGCAGCGACACAUGCAAUACAAACUAGAGCGAAAACGGAAGCGUAAGACAAAUACAGAACGAAAAUAAAGUUUCUCAUCAUAUA